rnacentral:rRNA from 1 species
AGUGAACGCUGGCGGUAGGCCUAACACAUGCAAGUCGAACGGCAGCACAGUAAGAGCUUGCUCUUACGGGUGGCGAGUGGCGGACGGGUGAGGAAUACAUCGGAAUCUACUUUUUCGUGGGGGAUAACGUAGGGAAACUUACGCUAAUACCGCAUACGACCUACGGGUGAAAGCAGGGGAUCUUCGGACCUUGCGCGAUUGAAUGAGCCGAUGUCGGAUUAGCUAGUUGGCGGGGUAAAGGCCCACCAAGGCGACGAUCCGUAGCUGGUCUGAGAGGAUGAUCCGCCACACUUGAACUGAGACACGGUCCAGACUCCUACGUGAGGCAGCAGUGGGGAAUAUUGGACAAUGGGCGCAAGCCUGAUCCAGCCAUACCGCGUGGGUGAAGAAGGCCUUCGGGUUGUAAAGCCCUUUUGUUGGGAAAGAAAAGCAGCAGGUUAAUACCCCGCUGUUCUGACGGUACCCAAAGAAUAAGCACCGGCUAACUUCGU